UACAGAGGUCUCAAGCGUUGUUCGGAUUCAUUGGGCGUAAAGGGUGCGUAGGUGGCAUGGUAAGUCGGAUGUGAAAUCCCGGGGCUCAACCCCCGGAACUGCAUUCGAUACUGCCAGGCUAGAGUACUGGAGAGGAGAUUGGAAUUUACGGUGUAGCAGUGAAAUGCGUAGAUAUCGUAAGGAAGACCGGUGGCGAAGGCGGAUCUCUGGACAGUUACUGACACUGAGGCACGAAGGCCAGGGGAGCAAACGGG
rnacentral:rRNA from 1 species